GAUGAACGCUGGCUACAGGCUUAACACAUGCAAGUCGAGGGGAAACGACGGGGAAGCUUGCUUCCCCGGGCGUCGACCGGCGCACGGGUGAGUAACGCUUAUCCUACCUGCCCCUGACUGAUGGAUAACCCGUCGAAAGUCGGCCUAAUACCUCAUUACAUCGUCUGCGGGCAUCCAACUACGAUUAAAGAUUUCAUCGGUCAGAGACGGGGAUGCGUCUGAUUAGCUUGUUGGCGGGGUAACGGCCCACCAAGGCGACGAACAGUAGGCGUUCUGAGAGGACGGUCCCCGACAUGGGAGCUGAGUCACGGACCAAGCUCCUACGAGAGGGAGCAGUGACGAAUGUUGGUCAGUGGGCGGGAGCCUGAAACAGCCAAGUAGCGUGCAGGAUGACGACGCUAUGGGUGGUAAGCUGCUUUUAUGCGGGGAUAAAGUGAGUGACGGGGCCGUCAUUGCAGGUACCGCAUGAAUAAGCACCGGCUAAUUCCGUG
rnacentral:rRNA from 1 species